GACGAACGCUGGCGGCGUGCCUAACACAUGCAAGUCGAGCGAAUGAAGUUCCUUCGGGAAUGGAUUUAGCGGCGGACGGGUGAGUAACACGUGGGCAACCUGCCUCAUAGAGGGGAAUAGCCUUCCGAAAGGGAGAUUAAUACCGCAUAAGAUUGUAGUACCGCAUGAUACAGCAAUUAAAGGAGCAAUCCGCUAUGAGAUGGGGCCGCGGCGCAUUAGCUAGUUGGUGAGGUAACGGCUCACCAAGGCGACGAUGCGUAGCCGACCUGAGAGGGUGAUCGGCCACAUUGGGACUGAGACACGGCCCAGACUCCUACGGGAGGCAGCAGUGGGGAAUAUUGCACAAUGGGGGAAACCCUGAUGCAGCAACGCCGCGUGAGUGAUGACGGCCUUCGGGUCGUAAAGCUCUGUCUUCAGGGACGAUAAUGACGGUACCUGAGGAGGAAGCCACGGCUAACUACGUGCCAGCAGCCGCCGUAAAAC
rnacentral:rRNA from 1 species